rnacentral:rRNA from 1 species
GACGAACGCUGGCGGCGUGCUUAACACAUGCAAGUCGAACGGAAAGGCCCUGCUUUUGUGGGGUGCUCGAGUGGCGAACGGGUGAGUAACACGUGAGUAACCUGCCCUUGACUUUGGGAUAACUUCAGGAAACUGGGGCUAAUACCGGAUAGGAGCUCCUGCUGCAUGGUGGGGGUUGGAAAGUUUCGGCGGUUGGGGAUGGACUCGCGGCUUAUCAGCUUGUUGGUGGGGUAGUGGCUUACCAAGGCUUUGACGGGUAGCCGGCCUGAGAGGGUGACCGGCCACAUUGGGACUGAGAUACGGCCCAGACUCCUACGGGAGGCAGCAGUGGGGAAUAUUGCACAAUGGGCGGAAGCCUGAUGCAGCAACGCCGCGUGCGGGAUGACGGCCUUCGGGUGGUAAACAGCUUUCGCCUGUGACGAAGCGUGAGUGACGGUAAUGGGGAAAGAAGCACCGGCUAACUACGU